rnacentral:misc_RNA from 1 species
GAUGAAGAACGCAGCGAAAUGCGAUAAGUAAUGUGAAUUGCAGAAUUCCGUGAAUCAUCGAAUCUUUGAACGCACAUUGCGCCCCCUGGUAUUCCGGGGGGCAUGCCUGUCCGAGCGUCAUUGCAACCCUCAAGAGCGGCUUGUGUGUUGGGCUUCGUCCCCCCGUGGACGUGCCCGAAAGGCAGUGGCGGCGUCCCGAAUGGUGCCCGAGCGUAUGGGAACUCUCUUCCGCUCGAACCGGCCCAUUCGGCGCUGGUCGAACCCCAAUUUUUUUUUACCGGUUGACCUCGGAUCAGGUAGGGAUACCCGCUGAACUUAAGCAUAUCAAUAAGCGGAGGA